rnacentral:misc_RNA from 1 species
CCCUCGCUAAAUGCUGAGUUGCCACAUCCAACGACGAGGAUUCGAGGGCGAUGGUAGCGAGGGGCGUAGAGAUUGAUGAGCGGAGCCAAGGAAUCAUACUUCUGGUACCAAUCGAAGGGCCCUGAUUCAUUCGCAUAUCUGUUGUCCCAGUACCAUGGCUCACCGUAUGCCUGCGUUGAUGUUCCCAUUGUCAUCCUCUCCAACUGCUCGGCCUCGGCGCUUGUUCAGUCUUGUCGUCAAUGUACUAAAGAUGGAGAGACGAUCGUUCC